GAGGUAACAGAAACACAUAUACUAAAAUUGGAAUGAAAGAUUAGCAUGGCCCCUGCACAAGAAUGACACAUAAAUUUGUGAAGUGUUCCGUAUUUUU
rnacentral:snRNA from 1 species